UGAACGCUGGCGGCAUGCCUUACACAUGCAAGUCGAACGGCAGCACGGAGCUUGCUCUGGUGGCGAGUGGCGAACGGGUGAGUAAUAUAUCGGAACGUACCCUAGAGUGGGGGAUAACGUAGCGAAAGUUACGCUAAUACCGCAUACGAUCUAAGGAUGAAAGUGGGGGAUCGCAAGACCUCAUGCUCGUGGAGCGGCCGAUAACUGAUAGCUAGUUGGUAGGGUAAAAGCCUACCAAGGCAUCGAUCAGUAGCUGGUCUGAGAGGACGACCAGCCACACUGGAACUGAGACACGGUCCAGACUCCUACGGGAGGCAGCAGUGGGGAAUUUUGGACAAUGGGCGAAAGCCUGAUCCAGCAAUGCCGCGUGAGUGAAGAAGGCCUUCGGGUUGUAAAGCUCUUUUGUCAGGGAAGAAACGGUGAGAGCUAAUAUCUUUUGCUAAUGACGGUACCUGAAGAAUAAGCACCGGCUAACUACGUGCCAGCAGCCGCGGUAAUACGUAGGGUGCAAGCGUUAAUCGGAAUUACUGGGCGUAAAGCGUGCGCAGGCGGUUUUGUAAGUCUGAUGUGAAAUCCCCGGGCUCAACCUGGGAAUUGCAUUGGAGACUGCAAGGCUAGAAUCUGGCAGAGGGGGGUAGAAUUCCACGUGUAGCAGUGAAAUGCGUAGAUAUGUGGAGGAACACCGAUGGCGAAGGCAGCCCCCUGGGUCAAGAUUGACGCUCGUGCACGAAAGCGUGGGGAGCAAACAGGAUUAGAUACCCUGGUAGUCCACGCCCUAAACGAUGUCUACUAGUUGUCGGGUCUUAAUUGACUUGGUAACGCAGCUAACGCGUGAAAUAGACCGCCUGGGGAGUACGGCCGCAAGAUUA
rnacentral:rRNA from 1 species